AAGACAGUAAGACAGUAGUGCUAAAGAA
rnacentral:piRNA from 1 species